ACACUGUUCAUGGGUUACCGCGGCUGCUGGCACGGAGUUAGCCGGUGCUUCUUCUGUGAGUGAUGUCCUUCCUGCCGGUUAUUGACCCGCAGGCCUUCUUCCUCACUGAAAGUGCUUUACAACCCGAAGGCCUUCUUCACACACGCGGCAUGGCUGGAUCAGGGUUGCCCCCAUUGUCCAAUAUUCCCCACUGCUGCCUCCCGUAGGAGUCUGGGCCGUGUCUCAGUCCCAGUGUGGCUGAUCAUCCUCUCAGACCAGCUACGGAUCGUCGCCUUGGUGAGCCGUUACCUCACCAACCAGCUAAUCCGACAUAGGCUCAUCCGAUAGCGCGAGGCCCGAAGGUCCCCCCGCUUUCCCCCGUAGGGCGUAUGCGGUAUUAGCCUGGGUUUCCCCCAGGUUAUCCCCCACUACCGGGCAGAUUCCUAUGCUAUUACUCACCCGUCCGCCGCUCGCCACCAGGGAGCAAGCUCCCCGUGCUGCCGCUCGACUUGCAUGUGUU
rnacentral:rRNA from 1 species